UACGUAGGGGCUAGCGUUGUCCGGAUUUAUUGGGCGUAAAGAGCGUGUAGGCGGCCAGGUAGGUCUGGUGUGAAAACUCGAGGCUUAACCUCGAGAUGUCAUCGGAAACCAUUUGGCUAGAGUCCGGAAGAGGAGAGUGGAAUUCCUGGUGUAGCGGUGAAAUGCGCAGAUAUCAGGAAGAACACCAAUGGCGAAAGCAGCUCUCUGGGACGGUACUGACGCUGAGACGCGAAAGCGUGGGGAGCGAAACAGG
rnacentral:rRNA from 1 species